GACACAUUCUCCUUAAAGCUUUGGUUGCUCUUUUUACUUCAACGGUGAUUUUAAGCUCAAUUUUUGUUGGGCAAAUAAUGCCUGGACAUUCACCCUUUGACAUGUUCCUUAUUCGACCUUACCCAAUUGAUGGUAGCUGAAUUUGAUCGCUUUACAGGCAGAGACAUAUUAUGCGGUAGUUGGGUUAUGGUUACAUAUAUCUCUAGCAUGAUUGUUGGAUGGUGGAUACUAUCAUUGAGACUUUGUUUCCACGUUGAUAUCACUCAUUUGUAUGGAUCUAUGAUAUUUUCUUUGAUCGGUGUAUGGAUCUAUGAUUUCUUUGAUGACACAUAACAUGUCCUUCCAUCUCAUAUAGCUGAACAUUAAGUGUAUACCACUUUUCUAAGAUGUUACUGAUCGUAUUAUGUAGAAGGCUGCAUCGAAUAGUAGUUUCUCUACUUAGUAUGCUAUUAGCUUGUUUGCUCGGGCCAAUGUCAUCUAGAUAUCUAUAGAGUCAGCUGAAGCUCUAUUACCAUCAAAGAUCUCCUUCUUCUGUUAGCGUUUGUGAUUGGACUUACUCCUAAUUGACAUUGUGAUUCGGCAAUAGAUUGGGUGCCAUCUGACCUUGCGAUGUCAGUGUUGCUUGCUCACAUAUUCAAAGGCAGCGAAAUUCAAACCAGGAUUGGGUUAUUUCUUAGGCAUAUUUCAAGUCUCUCUUCAGUAUGACUAUAAAGAAUGGUAUGGAGCAUUAGGGAGCCUCAAAGGAUUAUUGACAAAUCUAUCUUACUAUCUAUCUCUUUAUACAUGCCAUUUAUUUCGACUUGGCAUUGGUGAGGUGACUUGGAUAUUAUCUCUCAUUUUAGUAUUUCUCUCACUUAUCCCACCUUUCCCGCAUAUUUUAUUUUUCUAGCGUACUCCACUGAUGAGAUUUUACAAGUUCAACAUUGAUAGGGGCGUCACUGGUGAUUUUGCUUGCAACUGGGGUAUCAUUUGUGAUCAAUCUGGACACCGUAGUCGUGUCUUCUUUUUAUCUUACGGUGACUGCCCUAUACUUGAGGCAGAAUUGUGAGUCGUUUUUGAUAAGAUCCUUCUUGCUUUUCGACUUGAACUUUUUGACUUGUGGAUGGAGGUUUACUCUUAUCUAGCUGUGCAUUGCGUCGCCCGUGAUGGAGAUCCGUUGUUCAUCGAAGCUACUUUCAGAUAUAUCAGAAAUCUACUUUUCUUUGAUUAUGACACUAUUUCUCACAUCUAUUGUGAUUGAAACCAGGUUGUCAACUCACUUACGUGAGAGGGAUAGCACCAACACUGCUAUCAGGAGUAUGAUCUUCUCAACUUUCCCCGAUGAUUUCACGCUUUUGUACAAUUGAGGACUUCUUUCCUUCAGAGGUCUUUAGGCUUUAUUGUUUCAUUCUCAAUAUUUCACAGGAGUUAGUACCCCUCUCAUUUAUUGCUUUCAUUUUUUAUGCUUUUAAUUAGAGGUCAGAUUUAUGUCCCCUUCAUUGUAUUUGUUUAUAUAUUUUUUUAUUUUAUUUUAUUAUUACUUUUUUUUUUUUGAUAUCCAGGUAUUCACCUUACAGUGAUUAAAUCGUGGAGUCUACAACUUGGCCCCUCAAGCUGCAGACAGGUUAAAUCGCAAGUUGUGCCCCAAAUUGACCAGUGUUCAAGAACCUCCCCAAUUGAUCUGUCAAAAUGUCAAGCAAGUCAUUUCUCAUUUUUACACCUUGCCUUCAUCUAUAUUAUGAUAGGAGAACCCUAACCCCUCCGUCCUGAUUUGAUGGAGUCUAAAAAACUUAUUGGGAUUGUGAUUGUGCUUUAGUAAAACAGUUCCUUUCAUUAGGUUUCACUUUUACUUUGUAUAAACUCACCAAAUGCUUGUCAUAUUCAUUAAAAUUAUUUGUCCGAGG
rnacentral:lncRNA from 1 species